CCAUACAUUUGUGUGACUGGAGGGUCCUGGGGACAUCAUUGUGGUUCUUGGAAAGCGGCUGGGUGGAAUACUGGUAGACCAUGGGGAUAUAAACCCCAAUGUGCCCUAGAUAGAGUUGACAAAGAUGGGAAAACCCUACUCUCUAGAAUGACCUUAAGUCAACCCAAAUCAAACUCACUUUAAACAUACAGCACCCCAGUCUGGGGGAUGCAGGGGAAUAUGUAAUGGGCAUGCACUGGAAGGGUGGUGACUCAUAUAACAAGUCGGGGACAUUCUUCCUACAAGAUAUACUCACCUCACCUGAUUGGGUAGGUACGACUCACAUGACUGUCAACCCACUUCAACCUCACAUUAAGACUUUAUAUGAUAUGGUUGCUAUUGCUAAUCCCACCUUUGAAGACACCAGGGCAGUAGAAACUGGGUUCUCAGACACUAACUUAUGGCUGGAAUGGAUGAGAUAUAAUGCUAACUCACACAAUCAGACUAACUGUUAUGUAGGUGGGGGAGCUAGGCCCCACCUGGGCACGGUGCCUUUAAACCUACCUCCCGAUGUUGAAUUAUGUGUCCUGAGUUUUUAUGCACAAUCUACCACUAACUGUUCAAUGUGUGAGUCAUGGAAAAGGUCUACCCAAUCACCCAGGGACACGUUAGACCACCUGAUGGAGUCACUGUAUACCCAGGUAACUACACUUGCUAUUCAAUACCUAAGAACACAGGUACAUUUAUGGGCAAAUUCCCAUCUGGUUAUUGCUCUACCUAUCAUAAUCCACCCACGACACUGUUAAUGAACUAUGCAAAAACAGUUGGGAAUAUUUAUUGGCUGUGUGGUGAUAAGCAACUGAGAUCCCAACUAACGGGACUAUGGUGGGGAGAAUGCACACUAAAUAAGGCCAUAAUGCCCAUCCAUAUUAUCCAGGAUGGCCAUCACAAUGGGUUUGAUCCCACGCACACACACUCCAGAGUCAAAAGGGAAGCACCAAUCCGUGGUAGCUUUGAUCCACAUGUUUAUAUUGAUGCCAUUGGUGUGCCAAGGGGGGUACCCAACGAAUUUGAAGCUAGGGAUGAGGUUGCCGCUGGCUUUGAGUCCCUGAUUCCAUUAAUCACUGUCAAUAAGAAUGUUAAUUGGAUUAAUUAUAUCUAUUACAACCAAUAGCGGUUUGUUAACUAUACUAGAGAUGCCCUACAGGGCCUGGCAGAACAACUGCAAGCUAC